UUACGGCCAUAUCACUUUAAGAACAUCAGUUCCCGUAUGUUCACGGAAGUCAAGCAACGUCGACCGUGGUCAGAACUUAGAUGGGUGACUGAUUGGGAAUACCAUGCGAUGUAA